GCCGGGCGUGGUGGCUCACGCCUGUAAUCCCAGCACUUUGGGAGGCUGAGGCGGGUGGAUCACCUGAGGUCGGGAGUUUGAGACCAGCCUGACCAACAUGGAGAAACCCCGUCUCUA
ensembl:misc_RNA Metazoa_SRP Metazoan signal recognition particle RNA